AGAACGAACGCUGGCGGCAGGCUUAACACAUGCAAGUCGAGCGCCUCGCAAGAGGAGCGGCAGACGGGUGAGUAACGCGUGGGAACAUACCCUUCGGUUCGGAAUAAUUCAGGGAAACUUGGACUAAUACCGGAUACGGACGAGAGUCGAAAGAUUUAUCGCCGAAGGAUUGGCCCGCGUUCGAUUAGCUAGUUGGUGUGGUAACGGCGCACCAAGGCGACGAUCGAUAGCUGGUCUGAGAGGAUGAUCAGCCACAUUGGGACUGAGACACGGCCCAAACUCCUACGGGAGGCAGCAGUGGGGAAUAUGGACAAUGGGCGCAAGCCUGAUCCAGCCAUGCCGCGUGAGUGAUGACGGCCUUAGGGUUGUAAAGCUCUUUCGCUAGGGACGAUAAUGACGGUACCUAGACAAGAAGCCCCGGCUAACUUCGUGCCAGCAGCCGC
rnacentral:rRNA from 1 species